CGAUGGGCACUAGGUGUUGGGGGUGUCGACUCCCUCCGUGCCGAAGCUAACGCAUUAAGUGCCCCGCCUGGGGAGUACGGCCGCAAGGCUAAAACUCAAAGGAAUUGACGGGGACCCGCACAAGCAGCGGAGCAUGUGGUUUAAUUCGACGCAACGCGAAGAACCUUACCUGGGCUUGACAUGUUCCUGACCGCCCUGGAAACAGGGUUUCCCUUCGGGGCAGGAUCACAGGUGGUGCAUGGCUGUCGUCAGCUCGUGUCGUGAGAUGUUGGGUUAAGUCCCGCAACGAGCGCAACCCCCGUCGCAUGUUGCCAGCAUUAAGUUGGGGACUCAUGUGAGACUGCCGGUGACAAACCGGAGGAAGGUGGGGAUGACGUCAAGUCAUCAUGCCCCUUAUGUCCAGGGCUACACACGUGCUACAUUGGCGCGUACAGAGGGCUGCGAUACCGCGAGGUGGAGCGAAUCCCUCAAAGCGCGUCUCGGUUCGGAUUGCAGGCUGAAACCCGCCUGCAUGAAGGUGGAGUUGCUAGUAAUCGCGGAUCAGCAUUGCCGCGGUGAAUACGUUCCCGGGUCU
rnacentral:rRNA from 1 species